GUGCUCGCUUCCGCAGCUCACACACUAAAUUUGGAAGGAUACAGAGAAGAUUAGCAUGGCCCGGGUGCAAAGAUGUCACACAAAUUCAUGAAGUGCUCCAUAUUUUU
ensembl:snRNA U6 U6 spliceosomal RNA